GACGUAGGGCGCGAGCGUUGUCCGGAUUUAUUGGGCGUAAAGAGCUCGUAGGCGGCUUGUUACGUCGUUCGUGAAAACUUGGGGCUCAACCCCAAGCUUGCGGUCGAUACGGGCAGGCUAGAGCUCGGUAGGGGAGACUGGAAUCCUGGUGUAGCGGUGAAAUGCGCAGAUAUCAGGAGGAACACCGGUGGCGAAGGCGGACUCUGGGCCAUUACUGACGCUGAGGAGCGAAAGCGUGGGGAGCAAACAGG
rnacentral:rRNA from 1 species